rnacentral:rRNA from 1 species
UACCAGACUCCUACGGGAGGCAGCAGUGGGGGAUAUUGCACAAUGGGGGAAACCCUGAUGCAGCGACGCCGCGUGGGCGAAGAAGUAUUUCGGUAUGUAAAGCCCUAUCAGCAGGGAAGAAGAAAUGACGGUACCUGAGUAAGAAGCACCGGCUAAAUACGUGCCAGCAGCCGCGGUAAUACGUAGGGGGCAAGCGUUGUUCGGAAUGACUGGGCGUAAAGGGUGCGUAGGCGGUGUAGCAAGUUAGAAGUGAAAUACCUAGAGCUUAACUCAGGUGCUGCUUCUAAAACUGCUAUACUUGAGUGCAGUAGAGGAAAGUGGAAUUCCUAGUGUAGCGGUGGAAUGCGUAGAUAUUAGGAGGAACAUCAGUGGCGAAGGCGACUUUCUGGACUGUAACUGACGCUGAGGCACGAAAGUGUGGGGAGCAAACAGGAUUAGAUACCCCGGUAA